AGAGUUUCAUCCUGGCUCAGGAUGAACGCUAGCGGCAGGCCUAACACAUGCAAGUCGAGGGGUAACAGGAAGUAGCUUGCUACUUUGCUGACGACCGGCGCACGGGUGAGUAACGCGUAUACAAUCUACCUUAUACUAGGGGAUAGCCUUUAGAAAUGAAGAUUAAUACCCUAUAGUCUAUUAAUAUGGCCCCUCAUAUAAAUAGUAAAGGUUACGGUAUAAGAUGAGUAUGCGUCCUAUUAGUUUGUUGGUAAGGUAACGGCUUACCAAGACAGCGAUAGGUAGGGGCCCUGAGAGGGGGAUCCCCCACACUGGUACUGAGACACGGACCAGACUCCUACGGGAGGCAGCAGUGAGGAAUAUUGGACAAUGGGCGCAAGCCUGAUCCAGCCAUGCCGCGUGCAGGAAGACGGCCCUAUGGGUUGUAAACUGCUUUUAUACAGGAAGAAACACUCCCUCGUGAGGGAGCUUGACGGUACUGUAAGAAUAAGGACCGGCUAACUCCGUGCCAGCAGCCGCGGUAAUACGGAGGGUCCGAGCGUUAUCCGGAAUCAUUGGGUUUAAAGGGUCCGUAGGUGGAUAAUUAAGUCAGAGGUGAAAUCCUGCAGCUCAACUGUAGAAUUGCCUUUGAUACUGGUUAUCUUGAGUUAUUAUGAAGUAGUUAGAAUAUGUAGUGUAGCGGUGAAAUGCAUAGAUAUUACAUAGAAUACCAAUUGCGAAGGCAGAUUACUAAUAAUCAACUGACACUGAUGGACGAAAGCGUGGGGAGCGAACAGGAUUAGAUACCCUGGUAGUCCACGCCGUAAACGAUGGUUACUAGCUGUUCGGACUUCGGUCUGAGUGGCUAAGCGAAAGUGAUAAGUAACCCACCUGGGGAGUACGUUCGCAAGAAUGAAACUCAAAGGAAUUGACGGGGGCCCGCACAAGCGGUGGAGCAUGUGGUUUAAUUCGAUGAUACGCGAGGAACCUUACCAGGGCUUAAAUGUAGAUUGACAGGGGUGGAAACACCUUUUCCUUCGGGCAAUUUACAAGGUGCUGCAUGGUUGUCGUCAGCUCGUGCCGUGAGGUGUCAGGUUAAGUCCUAUAACGAGCGCAACCCCUGUUGUUAGUUGCCAGCGAGUCAUGUCGGGAACUCUAACAAGACUGCCAGUGCAAACUGUGAGGAAGGUGGGGAUGACGUCAAAUCAUCACGGCCCUUACGUCCUGGGCUACACACGUGCAACAAUGGUAGGUACAGAGAGCAGCCACUGGGUGACCAGGAGCG
rnacentral:rRNA from 1 species